UGUUUUACAUUUAUGCAAUAUAACCUUCUUUUAUGGAGCAGAAUACACUGAUCGUUUGAUAAAAAAGGAUUCCAGGUAGGUACACAAUAUUUCUCUUCUUCUUUCUUUGAUUUACUGGCUUACGGGUCGAGAUGCUUAUUUGGUAUGGACGGUUCCAGAAAAUUGCCUUGUGGCUAUAUUUUUUUGGACUGGAUGUUGUCAUACACUGCAGGUAGUAUUUAGAUAUUAAAACUUUACAUGUCGUGAAUCAUAACAUUUCUUUUAAGGGGAGGACAAGCUUUAUAUUUCUAUAGGGUGAAAAACGUGAAAGGGAGUCUUUAGUUUAGGAAUUUCUCCAAAAAUGAAACACGUACAAAAGCUUGUAGAAUGAAUUUGAAUCAAUUGCAACAUACCUAAUCUAAAAUAAAAAGAAUUUACCAUAUCAACUGUGCUAGUAUUGUGCUGCUGCAAACCGUGGAUUUUGAAUUUUUUCCCUUAAGAGGGUUAUACACCGAAGGUAAUUUGAAUGUGUAAAUAAAAAAUAACGCACCAA